rnacentral:rRNA from 1 species
GAUGUAACGCUGGCGGCGUGCCUAAUACAUGCAAGUCGAGCGAGACGAGAAUCACAAGGAGCUUGCUCCUUUGACGUUAGCGGCGGACGGGUGAGUAACACGUGGAUAACCUACCUAUAAGACUGGGAUAACUUCGGGAAACCGGAGCUAAUACCGGAUAACAUAUUGAACCGCAUGGUUCAAUAGUGAAAGGCGGCUUUGCUGUCACUUAUAGAUGGAUCCGCGCCGUAUUAGCUAGUUGGUAAGGUAACGGCUUACCAAGGCAACGAUACGUAGCCGACCUGAGAGGGUGAUCGGCCACACUGGAACUGAGACACGGUCCAGACUCCUACGGGAGGCAGCAGUAGGGAAUCUUCCGCAAUGGGCGAAAGCCUGACGGAGCAACGCCGCGUGAGUGAUGAAGGUCUUCGGAUCGUAAAACUCUGUUAUCAGGGAAGAACAAAUGUGUAAGUAACUGUGCACAUCUUGACGGUACCUGAUCAGAAAGCCACGGCUAACUACGUGCCAGCAGCCGCGGUAAUACGUAGGUGGCAAGCGUUAUCCGGAAUUAUUGGGCGUAAAGCGCGCGUAGGCGGUUUUUUAAGUCUGAUGUGAAAGCCCACGGCUCAACCGUGGAGGGUCAUUGGAAACUGGAAAACUUGAGUGCAGAAGAGGAAAGUGGAAUUCCAUGUGUAGCGGUGAAAUGCGCAGAGAUAUGGAGGAACACCAGUGGCGAAGGCGACUUUCUGGUCUGUAACUGACGCUGAUGUGCGAAAGCGUGGGGAUCAAACAGGAUUAGAUACCCUGGUAGUCCACGCCGUAAACGAUGAGUGCUAAGUGUUAGGGGGUUUCCGCCCCUUAGUGCUGCAGCUAACGCAUUAAGCACUCCGCCUGGGGAGUACGACCGCAAGGUUGAAACUCAAAGG